UACGGAGGGUGCAAACGUUGCUCGGAAUUAUUGGGCGUAAAGCGCACGUAGGCGGCCCAUCAAGUCGGAUGUGAAAUCCCUCGGCUUAACCGAGGACGUGCACUCGAUACUGAUGGCCUUGAGUACGAAAGAGGAUCGCGGAAUUCCCGGUGUAGAGGUGAAAUUCGUAGAUAUCGGGAGGAACACCAAUUGCGUAGGCAGCUUACUAGACGAUCAUUGACGCUGAGGCACGAAAGCGUGGGGAGCAAACAGG
rnacentral:rRNA from 1 species